UUGGCCCAGGUGUUAUAAAAAAAAACACAGAUCAGUUUCUCUUCUUCUUCCUCCCGAAUUUUCAUUCCAAAACACCUAUUUUCUAAACCCUCAAACCUAAAUCCCCAAUCUCCACCCCCCACAAACCUUUAACCCUCUUCCCCACCAAGCCUUGAAGCCCCAAAUCCUCCAUUGUCGCCGCUGCCAGCAGCUCCGCCAUUUCCAAAAGCUUGCCUCCACUUCCACCACCUCACAAUUCAAGUUUUACCGGUUGCUACUGCUUCAGUCGAGAGGGCAUUCUCCGUCAUGAAUAUUAUCAAAGGUCCACUUCGGAAAAAAAUGGGAGAUCAAUGGUUGAGUGAUAGCUUUCUUGUUUAUGUUGAGAAGGAUGUUUUUGAUUGUAUUGAAAAUGAAGCUAUAAUGCUACGUUUUCAAAAUAUGAAACCUCGUCGUGGCCAAUUGUAAUUUGUAAUGUUGUUUUUUUACAUGAAUUAUGAAUGAAUGUACUCUAGUUUUA